GCCUCCUUAGCUCAGGGGUAGAGCAGCUCCCUCGUAAAGAGCAGGUCGCCGGUUCAAAUCCGGCAGGGGGCUCCA
rnacentral:tRNA from 9 species